rnacentral:rRNA from 1 species
CCCUUAGAUGUUCUGGGCCGCACGCGCGCUACACUGAUGCAUUCAACGAGCCUAGCCUUGACCGAGAGGUCCGGGUAAUCUUUGAAACUGCAUCGUGAUGGGGCUAGAUUAUUGCAAUUAUUAAUCUUGAACGAGGAAUUCCUAGUAAACGCAAAUCAUCAAUUUGCAUUGAUUACGUCCCUGCCCUUUGUACACACCGCCCGUCGCACCUACCGAUUGAAUGGUCCGGUGAAAUCUCGGGAUUGUGGCCAGUUCACUUUAUUGGGAGUUGGCAGCGAGAACUUGCUUAAACCUUAUCAUUUAGAGGAAGGUGAAGUCGUAACA